GUGCACCAGUCGAGAAAACUUCACACUGUGCGAAAGCACGAUGAGGGAAUCCCAAGUGCUUGCACGUAAGUGUAAGCUGUUUCUCUGUCUAAAACGCAGAGAGAGUAAGGGCUGGGUAAGACGGGUGCCAGCCGCCGCGGUAAUACCUGCAGCUCAAGUGGUGACCGUUAUUAUUGGGCCUAAAACGUCCGUAGCCGGUUUAAUAAAUGCCUGGGUAAAUUGUGUAGCUUAACUAUACGAAUUCCGGGUAGACUGUUAAACUUGAGACCGGGAGAAGUUAGAGGUACUCCUGGGGUAGAGGUGAAAUUCUGUAAUCCUAGGGGGACCACCAGUGGCGAAGGCGUCUAACUAGAACGGGUCUGACGGUGAGGGACGAAGCCCUGGGGCGCAAACGGGGAUUAGAUACCCGUGUAGU
rnacentral:rRNA from 1 species